rnacentral:rRNA from 1 species
CACGUAGGGACCGAGCGUUGUCCGGAUUUAUUGGGCGUAAAGAGCUCGUAGGCGGUUCAGCAAGUCGGGUGUGAAAACUCUGGCUCAACCCAGAGACGCCACCCGAUACUGCUGUGACUAGAGUCCGGUAGGGGAGUGGGGAAUUCCUGGUGUGAGCGGUGGAAAUGCGCAGAUAUCAGGAAGAACACCUAUGGCGAAGGCAGCACUCUGGGACGGUACUGACGCUGAGACGCGAAAGCGUGGGGAGCAAACAGG